rnacentral:lncRNA from 1 species
UGAUGACAAAAUUAAACAGAUCUCCCACUUGGUCUGAUUCAAAUAAUGAUUUAUCAUUAAAAUACAAUUAGUAGCCUUGGUCAUGAAUUCAAUCUCAAACUCAUAAGGGAGUGAGUAGAGGACUUACUCUUAUUUUGUUUCUAUGAAGAAGUUCAAUUGAUUUCUUAUGGAUGAAAAGAAUCCGAAUAAUCAAGUCAACCUUUCAAAAUAUCAUGUAAAAACCAGUCUCUAUACUUGAUUAUACGUAAUGAAAAAAUUGAUAUAGGUUUCCCAUUGAUACUUACGUAACUAAGAUUGAGUUGGACAGAUCAACAAUCACUGGAAUAACGGUUCGAUGGAGGAGAAUUAUCUCAAGAGAAAUCAUCAUCCAAAAUAAAAAAGAAUAGAUUAGGACUAGUAAUGAUCUAUGAAAAUAGGAGAGGAGGAAUAGAAGUUCAAUUAUAAUUAAAGAAUUGAAGAGGAAACGAAAAAUGGCGAAGAACAAUGACUAACGCAGUGGUAGUACGACAAUGCUACAAUGGCAGAACGACGGCGGUGCGAUGGUGGUGCAACGGUGAUGAGGUGUGGAAGAAAGGGAAGUUUUGGUGAUGAUGUGGUGGUGGUUUGAUGAGAAAGUGGUGGUCAACG